rnacentral:rRNA from 1 species
CUACCGCAAACCGACACAGGUAGGCGAGGAGAGAAUCCUAAGGUGAUCGAGAGAACUCUCGUUAAGGAACUCGGCAAAAUGACCCCGUAACUUCGGGAGAAGGGGUGCUCUGUUAGGGUGCAAGCCCGAGAGAGCCGCAGUGAAUAGGCCCAGGCGACUGUUUAGCAAAAACACAGGUCUCUGCGAAGCCGUAAGGCGAAGUAUAGGGGCUGACGCCUGCCCGGUGCUGGAAGGUUAAGAGGAGCGCUUAGCGUAAGCGAAGGUGCGAAUUGAAGCCCCAGUAAACGGCGGCCGUAACAAUAACGGUCCUAAGGUAGCGAAAUUCCUUGUCGGGUAAGUUCCGACCCGCACGAAAGGCGCAACGAUCUGGGCACUGUCUCAACGAGAGACUCGGUGAAAUUAUAGUACCUGUGAAGAUGCAGGUUACCCGCGACAGGACGGAAAGACCCCGUGGAGCUUUACUGCAGCCUGAUAUUGAAUGUUGGUACAGCUUGUACAGGAUAGGUAGGAGCCUUGGAAACCGGAGCGCCAGCUUCGGUGGAGGCAUCGGUGGGAUACUACCCUGGCUGUAUUGACCUUCUAACCCGCCGCCCUUAUCGGGCGGGGAGACAGUGUCAGGUGGGCAGUUUGACUGGGGCGGUCGCCUCCUAAAAGGUAACGGAGGCGCCCAAAGGUUCCCUCAGAAUGGUUGGAAAUCAUUCGCAGAGUGUAAAGGCACAAGGGAGCUUGACUGCGAGACCUACAAGUCGAGCAGGGACGAAAGUCGGGCUUAGUGAUCCGGUGGUUCCGCAUGGAAGGGCCAUCGCUCAACGGAUAAAAGCUACCCCGGGGAUAACAGGCUUAUCUCCCCCAAGAGUCCACAUCGACGGGGAGGUUUGGCACCUCGAUGUCGGCUCAUCGCAUCCUGGGGCUGUAGUCGGUCCCAAGGGUUGGGCUGUUCGCCCAUUAAAGCGGUACGCGAGCUGGGUUCAGAACGUCGUGAGACAGUUCGGUCCCUAUCCGUCGCGGGCGCAGGAAAUUUGAGAGGAGCUGUCCUUAGUACGAGAGGACCGGGAGGGACGCACCGCUGGUGUACCAGUUGUUCUGCCAAGGGCAUCGCUGGGUAGCUAUGUGCGGACGGGAUAAGUGCUGAAAGCAUCUGAGCAUGAAGCCCCCCUCAAGAUGAGAUUUCCCAUUCCGCAAGGAAGUAAGAUCCCUGAAAGAUGAUCAGGUUGAUAGGUCUGAGGUGGAAGUGUGGCGACACAUGGAGCUGACAGAUACUAAUCGAUCGAGGACUUAAUC